ensembl:snoRNA SNORA72 Small nucleolar RNA SNORA72
AUGUGAGUAUUCUCACUGUUCUGAUUCUGUAAUAAUUGGGACAGGCUAAACAUUUGCUGUAUUAAGACAACACACAUGUCCAUCUAGCUUUAUAAAUACUGGUGAAAAAC